CCGGACAGAGCAAUUGCCUUCUAAGCAAUCGGUCACUGGUUCGAAUCCAGUACAGCGCGCCA
rnacentral:tRNA from 1 species